UUCCGGUUGAUCCCGCCGGACCCGACUGCUAUUUGGGUGAGGAUAAGCCAUGCGAGUUGAAUGGGAAACCUAAAAAUCCCAUGGCAAACUGCUCAGUAACACAUGAUCAACUUACCCUAUAGAGGAAAAUAACCUCGGGAAACUGAGGAUAAUGUUCCAUAGUUGAAUCGGCUUGGAAAAGUUUUUCAAUAAAAGGGAUAAGGAAAAUGGUCCUUAUCUGCUAUAGGAUAGGAUCGUGCUCGAUUAUGGUUGUUGGUGAGGUAAAGGCUCACCAAGCCGAUAAUCGAUAGGGGCCGUGAGAGCGGGAGCCCCGAGAUGGGUACUGAGACAACGACCCAGGCCUUACGAGGCGCAGCAGGCGCGAAACCUCCGCAAUACACGAAAGUGUGACGGGGUUACCCAAAGUGUUCAUUAGAACUGUGGUAGGUGAGUAAUGUUCCCUACUAGAAAGGAGAGGGCAAGGCUGGUGCCAGCCGCCGCGGUAAAACCAGCUCUUCAAGUGGUCGGGAUAAUUAUUGGGCUUAAAGUGUCCGUAGCCGGUUUAGUAAGUUCCUGGUAAAAUCGGGUAGCUUAACUAUCUAUAUGCUAGGAAUACUGCUAUACUAGAGGGCGGGAGAGGUCUGAGGUACUACAGGGGUAGGGGUGAAAUCUUAUAAUCCUUGUAGGACCACCAGUGGCGAAGGCGUCAGACUGGAACGCGCCUGACGGUGAGGGACGAAAGCCAGGGGAGCGAACCGGAUUAGAUACCCGGGUAGUCCUGGCCGUAAACGAUGCAUACUAGGUGAUGGCACGGCCAUGAGCCGUGUCAGUGCCGUAGGGAAACCGUUAAGUGUGCCGCCUGGGAAGUACGGUCGCAAGGCUAAAACUUAAAGGAAUUGGCGGGGGAGCACCACAAGGGGUGAAGCCUGCGGGUUCAAUUGGGAUUCAACGCCGGAAAUCACUAGUGCGGGCCGCCUGCAGGUCGACCAUAUGGGAGAGCUCCCAACGCGUUGGGAUGCAUAGCUUGAGUAUUCUAUAGUGUCACCUAAAUAGCUUGCGUA
rnacentral:rRNA from 1 species